ACAUUGUAGAAAGGGUCAAAAUG
rnacentral:miRNA from 1 species